AUUUGAAUAAACCAACGACCAUUGUCAGUUAAAUCUUUGAGAGUAGAUUAUGAUACAAGCAAACCUUCUGGACUCCUAAUUGCUGUUGGACCAAAACGAUGCUGGGCUUAACUCAUUCAUAAUAAAAUAAAUAUCAUAUUAAACCAAUUAAAAAUUUCUUCAUUUUUUUCUUCUUUUAGCUACGGUUAUUACACAACUCUUUUGAGCAUCUUGGACAGGACAGGCGUUAACCACACAAAGUUAUUUUUUCCCAGUUACAGAAUCA
rnacentral:lncRNA from 1 species